UAUUUACGCUCGGUUGUGCCUGUAUCGAAGAAAAUGAAGACCAGUCCAAAACAUUGCGUCAUUUAGUAUUUAGCACGCGCUAGAGUGAUUCAAAACAUCGAAUUUGACCGACACUGAACAGAGAUAAAACCCAGAUGUAUACAUGGCCUGGAUUUCCAUAUUAUGCUGCCCAGAAUAAAAGACGAUGCAGUCCAGAUAAAAACAUUGUAUGGCUCAAUAAUCUUUACCAAACUUGAUGCAUCAGAUGAAGUCUUUGACUAUCUAGAAAGGGAUUUUGUAAGCUAGUACUGGACAUGAAGACAGUCACUUGGAAAUGAUGAUUGUGCAACAGCGGUUAAACAUAUGCAAUACAUCAUAUGGUGACCAGACAGGGAGGAAACUAGGGAAAUGGUUAUCCACCAACAGCCCAAGUGCUUGGUUGAUAAGAGGAGCCACAGCAUUAAACAUUACUGCACAAAGUGGUGUGCUUUGCUAACACUUAUGAUUGUGAUUUGAUAAAAAAGCAAUGAAUGAACGCUCAUUAUUCAUAACUAUAACUAAAACAUUGAUGUCAAAAGUUGUCAAUUUUCAACAUAUAUAGUAUUUGAGAUCCUGAUCUAUAGUUGUGUGCAAUGGAUUAUCAAAGAAAAACAAAAGAGUGGGCAACAAAAUGAAUAGCAUAAUGCACCAGUCAAUUGUAACCACAUCCCGCCCCCAGGUCCGGGGACUUUUGACUUUUGGUCCAGCCUACCCCAGGUUAAAUUCCCUGAACUGAUCCUGACCUA